UUGUUUGUGAAUAGCUACUCAAAAUAAUAAGAUUUACACGCUCUGAAAAUGACCUUUUUGUCUAAAACUCUACGAAAAACAUGGCCGCGGUGUGCAAAUAAUGAGUUGCUUAUUUCAAAACUGUCCUAUUAUUCUUCAGUAAAACUUCUUGUUAAUUUAAGACUCUAAUAACUUGCUUGACAUACCCAUAGGCAAAUAUCUGUUAUCGGUGUAAUUACACCUUUGGAGAAAAGCGUGAUUCGCACGUUUUAAUUUCAUCAUUCGCCGCCUGAAGAGACAAGAUGGCGGAGCUUGCGAAAUCGAAAAUUGGUACUUGAAAGUCAAUGGUUGAUCAUGAUGACCAUCUUUUUUUUAAUGGAGAAAGAAACCAAUAUUUGCAGCUGGACAGGUUGUCACCACAGUUCAAUGAUUUAGGUCAGACAUCAGCUUUUGAAGUUGCUUUCUUGGCACAUCAUGCUGUCCAGUGGAGUUCAAACCAUAUGCCAGGCCUUUAUACAUGGUCAAAGAAGAUGAAUUUGUUAUUCAAUUUGUGAAAUUUGAUUUAGCGAGGACUUUCAUAUAUGAUGAUUAUAUUCAGCAGAUUAUCCUCAAGUGUGCACUUUCUAGAAUCACAGUUUCUAGGAGGUUUUCAGUUUAAAGUUAGAUUAAUUGAAAAAUAAGGGGAGCUAUCAUACUCACCAUGGUAUCGACAUUGGCAUUACACCAGGUUUAAGUUUUUCUUACCAGUCCAUAUUUUAAAAGGACCUUUUGACAGUAUUGAAACUUACAACAGUAAUGUAUCAUCAUUAUACCAAGUUUUAGGCAAGAGUACAUAACUCCAUCAAGGAUUUGACUGAACUAUGGCCCUUUGAAACUUUUGUCACUUGUUUAUAAUAAUAGUCUCUCUAUAUAGGCAAGAGUUCAUAACACUAUAGAGUAUUUUGGAUGAAUUAUGUCCCUUUUGGACUUUGAAAUUGGUUCAGUUUUUGUACAGGUCCACAUUUUGACAAAACAUUUUGACAUAUAGCUUUGAAUCUUUCAACACUAAGUCUUACCAUUACAAUAAUAUAACUUAAAAUAGUUGUUCAACAUCAUCAAUCAUCACCCACAUCAUAUUACACAAGAUGCAUAACUCUUGCACUAAAAUUUAUUGAAUUGUGCCCGUUUUGCUUAAAAUGUACUUUGUAUAGUGUUUUGAUACACUUUAUUUUUAUCUCUCAUAUUACUUAAUAUUUUUAAAACAGACUUAGUUAUUAUGCAAUAUCUUCAUCCGCCGUUGGAGUCAUUAAACACAAUAGUGACAGCUCCAGUGUUCUCAGAUGUGCCCAGGCUCACUAUCCAGCACCGAAAUAGUCGAGCAUGCUAACUGAGACAAUCAGGUAGAUAACUAUGGACAGAUUUUAUGUCAAAUCACCUCCCUUUAUUUCAAAUUGAAAUGGGUACAUCAGUGUAACUAAUGAAGAUACUGUUAUGCCAUCAGAUUGACUUGGACACUCAGUGAAGAUACAUAUUGACUGCAUUUAUGACAAAAGUACCUCCCUUUAUUUUUUAGCUCACCUGAGCAAUGCUCAGGUGAGUUUUUCUGAUCGCUCGAUGUCCGGCGUCCGUCGUCUGUCGUCUGUCGUCUGUCAACAUUUAGCUUGUGUAUGCGAUAGAGGCUGUAUUUUUCAAUUAAUCUUCAUGAAUAUUGGUCAGAAUGAUAACCUUGAUGAAAUCUAGGCCGAGUUCGAAAAUGGGUCAUCUCGGGUCAAAAACUAGGUCACUAGGUCAAAUCAAAGAAAAACCUUGUGUAUGCGAUAGAGGCUGUAUUUUUCAAUUAAUCUUCAUGAAUAUUGGUCAGAAUGAUAAUCUUGAUGAAAUCUAGGCCAAGUUUGAAAAUGGGUCAUCUUGGGUCAAAAACUAGGUCACUAGGUCAAAUCAAAGAAAAACCUUGUGCAUGCGAUAGAGGCUGUAUUUUUCAAUUGAUCUCCAUGAAUAUUGGUCAGAAUGAUUGCCUUGAUGAAAUCUAAGCCGAGUUCGAAAAUGGGUUAUCUCGGGUCAAAAACUAGGUCACUAGGUCAAAUCAAAGAAAAACCUUGUGUAUGCGAUAAAGGCUGUAUUUUUCAAUUGAUCUUCAUGAAUAUUGGUUAGAAUGAUUGCCUUAAUAAAAUCUAGGCCAAGUUCGAAAAUGGGUUAUCUCGGGUCAAAAACUAGGUCACUAGGUCAAAUCAAAGAAAAACCUUGUGUAUGCGAUAGAGGCUGAAUUUUUCAUUUAUUCUUCAUGAAUAUUGGUCAUAAUGAUUAUCUUGAUGAAAUCUAGGCCGAGUUCGAAAAUGAAUCAUCUCGGAUUAAAAAGAAGGUCACUAGGUCAAAUCAAAGAAAAACCUUGUGUAUGCGAUAGAGGCUGUAUUUUUCAAUUGAUCUUCAUGAAUAUUGGUCAGAAUGAUUGCCUUGAUGAAAUCUAAGCCGAGUUUGAAAAUGGGUCAUCUUGGGUCAAAAACUAGGUCACUAGGUCAAAUCAAAGAAAAACCUUGUGUAUGCAACAGAGGCGGUAUUUUUCAAUUGAUCUUCAUGAAUUUUGGUCAGAAUGAUUGCCUUGAUGAAAUCUAGGCUGAGUUCGAAAAUUGGUCAUCUGGGGUCAAAAACUAGGUCACUAGGUCAAAUUAAGGAAAAACCUUGUGUAUGCAAUAGAGGCUGUAUUUUUCAAUUGAUCUUCAUGAAAUUUGGUUAGAGUGAUUGCCUUGAUGAAAUCUAGGUCGAGUUUGAAUAUGGGUAAUCUGAGGUCAAAAACUAGGUCACUAGGUCAAACUAAAGAAAAAUCUUGUGUAUGCGGAUAGAGACUGUUUUUUUUUUUUUCAAUUGAUUUUUAUGAAAUUUGGUCAGGAUGAUUGCCUUAAUGAAAUCUAGGUCGAAUUUGAAUAUGGGUUAUCUGAGGUCAAAAACUAGGUCACUUGGUCAAAUCAAAGAAAAAACUUGUGUAUGUGAUAGAGGCUGUAUUUUUCAAUUGAUCUUCAUGAAUUUUGGUCAAAAUGAUUGCCUUGAUAAAAUCUAGGUCGAGUUUGAACAUGGGUCAUCUAGGGUCAAAAACUAGGUCAUAUCUAAGAAAAUGCUUGUUUUAUCGCAAGAGACCAAUUUUUUGGCCCAAUCUUAAUGAAAAUUGGUCAGAAUAUUUGUUUCCAUGAAAUCACUAGGUCAAACAUGUUUUACACUGUUAUGGUGUGUUCUUAGGUGAGCAACCUAGGGCCAUCUUGGCCCUCUUGUUAUGUAAAUGAAUAUAUUUAGUAGCUUCUAAUGAAAUUGGUUUGAAAGGUUUUUUAUGUCUUCCAUGGUAAGAUAUAGUCAUGUUAGAUAACUCUUGCUUGAAUGUUUAUAGAUAUGAAUACUUCUCUUAUAUAUUAUUGUGAAACUUGUACUGUGUAUCUUCUACAUGCAUGUACCAAUACAUGAUUACCUUCCCUGAUUUUUAUAAAAAUGGAUUUAUCUCAGUAAGCACAUAUAUAGGACUCAUUUAAAAUUUCAUUAUUGUCAUUAGUUGGACAGAGACAAUUAUUGUAGAUUAUAUUGACUGAUUUUAUGCCAAGUUACAUUCCUUCGUUUCUUGUUAAAAUAGGUGUAUCUCAGUAACCAAUGAAGAUACUGAUUUGAAGUGUCAUUUAUGCAAUGAGAUGGACACGGACAAUCAGGGUAGAUAACUUUUGACUGGAUUUAUGACAGAUAACCUCCCUUUAUUUUAUGUAAAUGAAUAUAUAUCUCAGCAGCAUCUAAUGAGAUUGCUUUAAAAUGUUAUGUAAGUCUUCCAGGGUAAGAAAUAGUCAUGCCAGUACAAAAAUGCAGCAUUUGAGCCUAGGACCCUCAAACAUGAUAUGAAGAUUGGCCCUGACUAGUAUGUGACCCACAGGUCAAAAGGGACUGUUACAAUGAAUUUUUUAUCCUGAUGAUAUUUAAUGUGUAGCACUCUCGUCUAAAGUAUUUUUGAUUUAUAUGGAAAACAGCAGUGUUGGACAGAAUUGGAUGAAAAGUACAUUGUUAGAACUUCAAAUAUGCAACAUAAAGGUGAAUAUAGGUAAAUUUAUAAA